rnacentral:rRNA from 1 species
AUGAACGCUAGCUACAGGCUUAACACAUGCAAGUCGAGGGGCAGCAUGAAUCAAGCUUGCUUGAUUGAUGGCGACCGGCGCACGGGUGCGUAACACGUAUCCAAUCUACCCAUGGCUCAGGGAUAGCCUUUCGAAAGAAAGAUUAAUACCUGAUGGUUUCAUGAGCCCGCAUGGACUUAUGAAUAAAGAUUUAUCGGCGAUGGAUGAGGAUGCGUCCGAUUAGAUAGUAGGCGGGGUAACGGCCCACCUAGUCGACGAUCGGUAGGGGCUCUGAGAGGAGGAUCCCCCACAUUGGAACUGAGACACGGUCCAAACUCCUACGGGAGGCAGCAGUGAGGAAUAUUGGUCAAUGGGCGAGAGCCUGAACCAGCCAAGUAGCGUGAGGGAUGACUGCCCUAUGGGUUGUAAACCUCUUUUGUUUGGGAAUAAAGUGAGCCACGUGUGGCUUUUUGUAUGUACCUUACGAAUAAGCAUCGGCUAAUUCCGUGCCAGCCGCUGC